AAAAACAAUAAAAAAUGUAAUGCAUAAAAUGUAUAAAUUUCUAAUCUAUAAUAAUAGUAAAUACAAUCUAAGGUAUUUAAAAAAUAUACACAACCUGAGCUCUCUCGGAAAAUCAGUAGUGGACAAGCUCCCUCCACUGAUGAGAGAUUACAUCUGGAGGGCAAACAUGGGCCACCUCCUCUUCAGUCAUGCCCUCGUGCUUCCAAUCCGUCUUUAGCUUCGCCUUAUAUUCUUUCCAUUUGCGGUUGACGGACUUCAGCACCCAAUCAUGGCUAUUUGCAGGAAGGACAAACUUU
rnacentral:lncRNA from 1 species